rnacentral:rRNA from 1 species
CCAUGAAGCUGGAUUCGCUAGUAAUCGCGCAUCAGCCACGGCGCGGUGAAUACGUUCCCGGGCCUUGUACACACCGCCCGUCAAGCCAUGGAAGCCGGGAGUGCCUGAAGUACGCGACCGCAAGGAGCGUCCUAAGGUAAAACCGGUGACUGGGGCUAAGUCGUAACAAGGUAUC